rnacentral:rRNA from 1 species
AGGUCCAGCCUGCCCAGUGACCUAGUUCAACGGCCGCGGUAUCCUAACCGUGCGAAGGUAGCGUAAUCACUUGUUCUUUAAAUGAGGACUAGUAUGAAUGGCAUCACGAGGGUUACACUGUCUCCUUUUUUUGAUCAGUGAAACUAAUCUCCCCGUGAAGAAGCGGGGAUAUUUUUAUAAGACGAGAAGACCCUAUGGAGCUUUAAACAAAUUAACACCUGCUGCUCAAAAUGACUUUUUCGGAAAUACAAAACAUAGCAUAGCAUGAUGAUUAAUAGUUUUUGAUUGGGGUGAUCACGGAGUAAAAAGUAACCUCCAUGCCGGAAGGGUUCUUCCCUGAGCAAAAAACCACAAUUUUAAGCACUAAAAAAUUAACGUUUAUUGACCCAAUAUUUUGAUCAACGAACCAAGUUACCCUAGGGAUAACAGCGCAAUCCACUUCAAGAGCUCAUAUCGACAAGUGGGUUUACGACCUCGAUGUUGGAUCAGGGUAUCCCAGUGGUGCAGCCGCUACUAACGGUUCGUUUGUUCAACGAUUAAAACCCU